UCCUUGUUUACAGUGGCUUUACAAAUCUUUCUGUGUGCCCUUUUCAGGAUUAUACUCUUUUCUUUCCUGUUUUUGAGCAUCUUCCACUCGUCCAUUUUGUAACAUUUCUAUGCUGAUAUUUUCUCUAUUGUUAUGUUUGUAUGUCAGAAUAUUUGAUAGAGUUAAGCGUGUCUAUCGUUUCUUUGAAUUCUGUAUAGUCUAAAAAAUGUUGUACUGAAUCGCAUAAUUAGGGUAAGGAUGGGAUGAGUUGUUAACAAUUUGAAGAGUUUUGCAUGUCUGCAGCUAGUAUAAACUCCUUAUAAUCAUCACAUAAAUAUACAGCUGUCCAAACAUGCUUGCACAUGAUUUAAGGAGAAUGGAGGGGAGCUUGGGCGAUGAUCCUGUAUCUUCUAUUCUCCCAAACUAUGAGCUGGUUACUGAAUUGAGCCUCAACUCUCAAUUGUGUUGACACUGCCUUAAAGAGCAGUAGAAGCCAGUCCCCAGUCCACGAUCUCUGACAGCAAUCAAAAUGAGUUGUCUCCAUCCAAAGGCUCUGUUUUCUCACCCAUGUCUAUCUAAGCUGUACUGCAGUGAGACCCAGUCAAUCUACAGAGGAGAAUCAGCAGGAUUGUAGCACCAUUCAGUUCUUUAAACUAUGCACACUGGUCAGCCCUAUUCAGGAUGCACAGGUCUAACAUUUUGGAGAUGAAUGCUUUUAAGUCUAACUCUACAUUUCAUCUCAUCAUUUGUCCAUUCAACUGUCUCAGCAGCUCCAACAGUUAGAAAUUAAGAGAAAGGAAAUGUAUCUAGUAUUUACUUCUCUUGUGUUAUCAGGAGAUUCUAUAAUGUUCUACAUAAAGUUAUAUUUAAUGUGAUCUAAUAUCUCAAGAGAGCUGCCCAUGUGAUGGAAAUCAGCUAGUGCAAUUUAAUGCGAUUUUUCAGCAACCCUAGGUGUGCUGUUUGCUAUUGUUACAGUCGUAUUUUUUCACGUGUUAUAUCUUGAGGAGCUGCAGCUUUAUGUCAUCACCGUAGUGAUACUGAGUGACAGGAAGCUUUCCUCUUCCAAUCACUGGGGAAGAGGAAUUUUAAGUUUUGUGCAUUCAAGGACUGAUUUUGAAGAGCUACUAAAAGCAAUGUGCACAUUUUGACACUGUGAUGAUGUUAGGAGCCGCUAUGUACAUCUUUUAAAUAAUACCCUUUGUCUCUUUUGACAUUGCAAAAAUCCCUUGUCUAUGUAUGUCUUCAGCAAUUCCAUUGGGAGUAAGCAUGUCUAUAUUGUUUGAAAUAGUGCCCACAAAGACACUUUAGAAGAGAUCAAGUCUGGAAAUUAUAAGUGCAUUUCUUCUGACAUUUCCUAAUAAAAAAUAAUUUGUGGGAAUACUGCUAUUAUUUUAUGGGAAAACUAAAUCGAAGUAUUUAAUGAAAUAAGAUGUUCACUUGUCACAUAUGGUUUGUUUCUCUGAGACCUUAAAGUAGUUGCCAAGAAUGUUCAUGUAAUGUGUUAUGGAAUGUGUUCAUGAGGGUUCUUCACUGGAAGAGAAUCCAGAGAAUCCAGAUAACAAUUAUUAGAUUAGCUAACACGGUCUGAGACUGGGUUGUCCUUCAGGGUCUAUCUGCCAGGUGUAGAGCCAUAAAAGGCAGUAUCUGUUCAGUCCAAGAGGUUUGUAACCUCACAAAAAAGUGACCACAUUCCAAAUCUAACAGCCAAAAUGGCUCCUGCAGAGUCACUACUGUAAGUUGUGCUAAAAUCUUAAAAAGUGGGUGAUGGCAACAGAGAGAAGCACACUCAGUCUGGGUCUGAAUUCCCCUCACAAGUGAGCUUCUCCUUAAUGCCAUGCAUUUAGGCCCCCAUCCCGAGACAGUGCUCUCUGUAUCCAGGGCAGAUAUUUCUCACUCAUAACCAUGCACCAGUCAUGUCUCACAAUACCUCACAGACAUACAAAUGUGACUUAUCAAUUUCAAAGGCCUUUCUUCAUUUAAUCAAGUUGAUGAUCAAGAUUAACUGUGACAGAACCUUUCAACCAAAGCUUGAAAUUCUUAGUAAUUUGAAGCAAGUAUUCCAAACAUUCAAAGAACUAAUAAUCUCCAUUAGUUACCUGAUUUUUUAAAAGUCUUCAGAUUUAUUGUUCAAUAAAAAAGUCAGUUUCAUUUUUGUUACAGUAGGUAAAAAUUCAAGCUUCACUGCAUGACAUAAUGAAGUUAUGUUUUGAUGUAGAAUGCUUGUGAGGUUGCAUAGACAAGCACAUGAAUUUGGGUCACUAACUAAAAGCCAAGCAGAUCUGGAGUCAGUAUCUUUAGCCCCAGGCUAUCAUCCCAGGGAUGAAGGUAUUAUCCUAAACACCAGACGCCAUAUAAAAAUAUAGCAGGGUCCGUGGGUAGGAGGAUCGUAUCUCUUUCUUGUGUUCCUCCUUCUCUAAGAGAAUUCUCAUUAUGUUUAAAGCAGACUAAAGGAGAAAGUAGCAGCAGUGAACCUCAAUAGACACCACUCGAGAAACUACUUUCCUCACUUACUAUUGAGUCUUCCAUUGUGAUAUUUCACAUAGAAAGUCAUUUAGCAUUAAGUAUGCAUUGACUCUAUUCCAAUUACUGCUCCAGAAAGCCCAAAGACACAUCUAACAACAGCAGAGAAGUGUGGUCUUGAGACAAAGAACAGGGUUGCCCCACCAUAGGCAUUCCUAUCCUACUUCUCUCCAGACAGCAGGUGAAGUGGUGCAGGUCAGUCUCAAAGUCUGGACAUCAGCGCCUCCAGCCUGGCUUUAUUUUCCCCACCUGUGGUCAUGGCAAGUGGGGUAAUUACUUUAUAGCUCAGCUUUCUAUGAAAUCAUAUGAUAAGACCAUAGCAACUUUACAUCUAUGAUGAUGGCAAAAUCAAUGAACUUAUACAUCAUAUGAAAUGGUGAUUGCCACAUGUAGAAAGCCAUUGAUCACUUUUUGGGGUUCUUGUUAUGGUGUUAUUUUUUAUGUUAUUGUAACUUCUGUCUAAUAACAUGCUACUCAAGAUUGCUUUGCUAUAUUUUUUCUACUCAAAAUGUCAACAUGUGGUUAAUGAUUUCCCAUUUGACACAAGCCAGCUCUUUAUAUCUUAAGGUACAAUCAUGUCUUUUUUCACAUCUUUAUGUAUAUUGUGAGCAUCUGCUAUGCUAGUCGUGUUUGUCCAUAAGUUCAUAACAUACCUCCUUACAAUUUGAAUGUUUUGUGACAAUUCAACUUGAUGGCAAUGUUUUUGUAGAGUAUGUAUAAAUCCAUGAAUUAGACUGUAACAACACAAAAAUAAAGUUUUUCUUUCAAUCUA